CAGACGGCCCAGUAACGCGUAGUCAACCUACCCUAUGGACGGGAAUAACCUCGGGAAACUGAGAAUAAUGCCCGAUAGAACACUAUACCUGGAAUGGUUUGUGUUUCAAAUGAUUUAUCGCCGUAGGGUGGGACUGCGGCCUAUCAGUUUGUUGGUGAGGUAAUGGCCCACCAAGACUAUUACAGGUACGGGCUCUGAGAGGAGUGGCCCGGAGAUGGGUACUGAGACACGGACCCAGGCCCUAUGGGGCGCAGCAGGCGAGAAAACUUUGCAAUGCGCGAAAGCACGACAAGGUUAAUCCGAGUGGUUUCUGCUAAAGGAACCUUUUGACAGUCCUAGAAACACUGUUGAAUAAGGGGUGGGCAAGUUCUGGUGUCAGCCGCCGCGGUAAAACCAGCACCUCAAGUGGUCAGGAUGAUUAUUGG
rnacentral:rRNA from 1 species